UCGCACACAUGGGCCGAAAGCCUGAUGCAGCGACGCCGCCUGAGGGAUGACGGCCUUCGGGUUGUAAACCUCUUUCAGCAGGGAAGAAGCGAGAGUGACGGUACCUGCAGAAGAAGCGCCGGCUAACUACGUGCCAGCAGCCGCGGUAAUACGUAGGGCGCAAGCGUUGUCCGGAAUUAUUGGGCGUAAAGAGCUCGUAGGCGGCUUGUCGCGUCGGAUGUGAAAGCCCGGGGCUUAACUCCGGGUCUGCAUUCGAUACGGGCAGGCUAGAGUUCGGUAGGGGAGAUCGGAAUUCCUGGUGUAGCGGUGAAAUGCGCAGAUAUCAGGAGGAACACCGGUGGCGAAGGCGGAUCUCUGGGCCGAUACUGACGCUGAGGAGCGAAAGCGUGGGGAGCGAACAGGAUUAGAUACCCUGGUAGUCCACGCCGUAAACGUUGGGAACUAGGUGUGGGCGACAUUCCACGUCGUCCGCGCCGCAGCUAACGCAUUAAGUUCCCCGCCUGGGGAGUACGGCCGCAAGGCUAAAACUCAAAGGAAUUGACGGGGGCCCGCACAAGCGGCGGAGCAUGUGGCUUAAUUCGACGCAACGCGAAGAACCUUACCAAGGCUUGACAUACACCGGAAACAUCCAGAGAUGGGUGCCCC
rnacentral:rRNA from 1 species